rnacentral:rRNA from 1 species
UCCGAGUUGUAAUUUGUAGAGGAUGUUUUGGGUACCGCCCCGGUUUAAAUUUCUUGGAACAGAAUGUCAAAGAGGGUGAGAAUCCCGUCUUGGACCGGCGGUAGGGCCUGUGUAAAACUCCUUCGACGAGUCGAGUUGUUUGGGAAUGCAGCUCAAAAUGGGUGGUAAAUUUCAUCUAAAGCUAAAUAUUGGCCAGAGACCGAUAGCGCACAAGUAGAGUGAUCGAAAGAUGAAAAGAACUUUGAAAAGAGAGUUAAACAGUAUGUGAAAUUGUUGAAAGGGAAGCGCUUGCAACCAGACUUGAGCGCGACGGUUCCCCUAGCCUUUUGGCUAGGUUACUCUGUCGUGUCCAGGCCAACAUCGGUUCUGAGGGUCGGUCAAAGGCCCCGGGAAUGUACCUACCCACGGGUAGACUUAUAGACCGGGGUGUCAUGCGGCCUCUCGGGACCGAGGAACGCGCUUCGGCUCGGAUGUUGGCGUAAUGGUUGUCAGCGACCCGUCUUGAAACACGGACCAAGGAGUCUAACAUCUAUGCGAGUGUUUGGGUGUCAAACCCGGAACGCGGAAUGAAAGUGAACGGAGGUAGGAAGCUUCGGCUGCACUAUCGACCGAUCCUGAAGUUUACGGAUGGAUUUGAGUAAGAGCAUAGCUGUUGGGACCCGAAAGAUGGUGAACUAUGCCUGAAUAGGGUGAAGCCAGAGGAAACUCUGGUGGAGGCUCGCAGCGGUUCUGACGUGCAAAUCGAUCGUCAAAUUUGGGUAUAGGG